GACGAACGCUGGCGGCGUGCUUAACACAUGCAAGUCGAACGAAGUGGCGAACGGGUGAGUAACGCGUAAUCAACCUGCCCUUCAGAGGGGGACAACAGUUGGAACCGACUGCUAAUACCGCAUACUGAAGGAGGGGAUUGAGUCUGAUUAGGUAGUUGGAGGGGGAACGGCCCACCAAGGCGACGAUCAGUAGCCGGGCUGGAAGGAUGAACGGCCACAUUUGGACUGGGACACGGCCCAGACUCCUACGGGGGGGAGCAGUGGGGAAUCUUCCGCAAUGGACGAAAGUCUGACGGAGCAACGCCGGGUGAGGGAUGACGGCCUUCGGGUUGUAAAGCUCUGUUAAGCGGGACGCGGUACCGGAAUAGAAAGCCACGGCUAACUACGUGCCAGCCGCCGCGGUAAUAC
rnacentral:rRNA from 1 species